rfam:Geobacter uraniireducens Rf4, complete genome.
CCUGAAGUAUCCCCUUCAGCGCCCUAGGCGGCGUGCUGGGUACGCGCUGUGUACUUGGUGCGAAGCCCGCUGACAAUGUACCGAAUCGGGUUUGAAUGGCGACAGGAGAACCCCUCCGGAAACUCCAUCCGGUUAAGGGC